CAUGGACUUCUUAGGUGACCGGCCGCACACGAGGCUCCUGCCCAAAACAGUUCCACAAGUUUUGGUGGUUUGGCCGGUCUAAUUCGGAAAGUCAAGAAAACCGAAUAAAUGCACGAACGUCUCCCCCUGGCUCAUAGUAGCGAUUGUUCCCCUUGCACAGUUUUGACUGGUAUUCGUGAAGUUGAGUGUCCGAUUUUAGUUCCAGACACUCGAUGACCAAGUCCCGCUACCUCCUUUCGUGAAAACAAGAUGGCCGCUGUUUUCUCGACCACAUGUCGUUCGGCUAUACGAACGGCGGCCACACAGGGGGAGCACUUAAAUGACUGUUCUCUUUGAAGUUAAUGAGCCAAGGGGUGGUCGGUGUUCGGUAGUUACAGCUACUGAAUGGAAUUACAUGAAAUAAACAAAAUAACUUGGUGAUUUCUUCACAACAGGUAGUUGGUAUACCAUAAAAGGGAGACUCAGGCUGGUAGCUGGAUUACCAUAAAAGGAAGACUCGGACAAGUAGUUGGUAUACCAUAAAAGGGAGACUCAAGCAAGCAGCUGCCAGACUAGAAAAGGUAAGACAAGUAUGAAUAUUCUGGCAGCUCACACAAUCCUUCAUAUGAACGGCAGAGCUAUUCAAUAAUAUCUGAAACAUCAGG